AGUGAACGCUGGCGGUAGGCCUAACACAUGCAAGUCGAACGGCAGCACAGUAAGAGCUUGCUCUUACGGGUGGCGAGUGGCGGACGGGUGAGGAAUACAUCGGAAUCUACUUUUUCGUGGGGGAUAACGUAGGGAAACUUACGCUAAUACCGCAUACGACCUACGGGUGAAAGCAGGGGAUCUUCGCACCUUGCGCGAUUGAAUGAGCCGAUGUCGGAUUAGCUAGUUGGCGGGGUAAAGGCACACCAAGGCGACGACCCGUAGCUGGUCUGAGAGGGUGAACCGCCACACUGGAACUGAGACACGGUCCACACUCCUGCGGUAGGCAGCAGUGGGGAAUCUUGGACGAUGGGCGCAAGCCUGAUCCAGCCAUACCGCGUGGGUGAAGAAGGCGUUCGGGUUGUAAAGCCCUUUUGUUGGGGAAGAAAAGCAGCAGGUUCAGACCCCGCUGUUCUGACGGUACCCAAAGAAUAAGCACCGGCUAACUUCGUG
rnacentral:rRNA from 1 species